UUGGUGACUGCGGACGUCAUUAUCAAUUUUACAGUCCUGGGAUGGGGGUAUAAAAGCCCCCUUCCCAUGCUGUUCAACCCUUUGUCUUUUGCGUACUGUAUGUUUCCUCGGCGGGUUCGCCCGCCGAUAGGACACUUCAAAACCUUUUGUAAUUGCAAUCAGCGUCAGAAAAACUAUAAUAGUUACAACUUUCAACAACGGAUCUCUUGGUUCUGGCAUCGAUGAAGAACGCAGCGAAAUGCGAAAAGUAGUGUGAAUUGCAGAAUUCAGUGAAUCAUCGAAUCUUUGAACGCACAUUGCGCCCCUUGGUAUUCCAUGGGGCAUGCCUGUUCGAGCGUCAUUUGUACCCUCAAGCUCUGCUUGGUGUUGGGUGUUUGUCCCGCCUUCGCGCGUGGACUCGCCUUAAAGUGAUUGGCAGCCGGAAUAAUUCUGGGGAACGCAGCACAACUGCAGCCUCCAUUUUACGCCGAGCGUCCAGUAAGCCUUUUUUCAACGUUUGACCUCGGAUCAGGUAGGGAUACCCGCUGAACUUAAGCAUAUCAAA
rnacentral:rRNA from 1 species